CUGGCUCAGGACGAACGCUGGCGGCGUGCUUAACACAUGCAAGUCGAACGAGGUGGAUUUUAACACUGAAUGCUUGAGAAUGUAACUUCGAGCGUUGUGGCGGCUUGAACUUACGGUCAAGAAAUAAUCGAGCAUUGAGUGUUAAAAGACACCGAGUGGCAAACGGGUGAGUAACGCGUAGACAACCUGCCGCAAAGAUGGGGACAACAGUCCGAAAGGACUGCUAAUACCGAAUGUUGUCAAGCUCCCGCAUGAGAAACUGAUUAAAGAUGGCCUCUACUUGUAAGCUAUCGCUUUGCGAUGGGUCUGCGUCUGAUUAGCUAGUUGGUGGGGUAACGGCCUACCAAGGCGACGAUCAGUAGCCGGUCUGAGAGGAUGAACGGCCACAUUGGAACUGAGACACGGUCCAGACUCCUACGGGAGGCAGCAGUGGGGAAUCUUCCGCAAUGGGCGAAAGCCUGACGGAGCAACGCCGCGUGAGUGAAGAAGGGUU
rnacentral:rRNA from 1 species